rnacentral:rRNA from 1 species
ACCUACGGGAGGCAGCAGUGGGGAAUAUUGCACAAUGGGCGAAAGCCUGAUGCAGCAACGCCGCGUGAGCGAAGAAGGUCUUCGGAUUGUAAAGCUCUGUCCUAGGGGAAGAAGAAAAUGACGGUACCCUUGGAGGAAGCCCCGGCUAACUACGUGCCAGCAGCCGCGGUAAUACGUAGGGAGCAAGCGUUAUCCGGAUUUAUUGGGUGUAAAGGGUGCGUAGACGGGAAAACAAGUUAGUUGUGAAAUCCCUCAGCUUAACUGAGGAACUGCAACUAAAACUAUUUUUCUUGAGUGCUGGAGAG